rnacentral:lncRNA from 1 species
GGCUCAUUCCCAAAGUAAUGCCUCGCCCUCACAGCUAAGUGGAAACCAAACCAGCCACCAGAGAAAUGGAAGUUAGGCCAUUGUAUCAGUCAGGAUAUUCUUUUAAAUAACCAGAGGGCUUUGUUGUCUCUUAGAAUUGGAAUGUCAAGUGGGAAGAUAAGUUUCAGGGGCUGUUUGAUUGAGCAACCCAAAAAUGUCAUUAAGAAAAGAUCCGGCUUCUUUCCAUCUCUCCACUCUACUUUUUACAGGUCAAUGAAUCCAAGUUGUUUUUGUUUUGUUUUGUUUUCAUUAUGACAAAAUGGUGGCAGCCAUUCUAGACUGACACGCCACAGCAGCUGGAAGAAAGACACGAUCUUUUCCUCUGAUGCCUCUCUCAGAAGCAUUCCAGUUUAUGUCUUCCUCUUGCCUAUUUGAGGACUAAAGUCAAAAUGUCUAUACCAUCCUGUACAGCCACAUAUGGGUCUUGAGCACUUGAAAAGUGACUGGUCCAGCUUCACAUGUGCUCACUGUACCAGCCUCUGGAGGAAAUGCAAGAGACCUUCCAGACCUGAUCACCACACCCUAUUCAUAAUCUCGCCAUGGAGAAGAGACAUCCACUUAUGAAGCCAGCAGAACAGAUGUGGGCAACUUUCAAAAACGAAGUAACAAAUGGUCAGCUCCUGUUCUUCUGUAGUGCUGAGGAUGGAAGGAGAAAGAGUUCACACAGAAUGGGACCCUAGCGAUAUGAAAGUCAAGAAAAAGUGAAAACUCUGAAAAAGAAGAGAAAUCACAAUCUGGCUUAAGAAGUUUGACAAAGAAGUAAAGCAAAGAAAUGUCAAAGGGUUAAAGCUGAGCAUCCAGACUACACAAAGAAGCCCUAAGUGAGCUGAUUGUAGUAGGAGCAUUAGCCUGAAAAUCAGUACUGCCUGGGAGCACUUCCAUCUGUCAAUCAGAAAACAUUAGAGUGGGUACUUAGAGAGUUAAGAGCAGACCCAACAGCCAAAAUGAUGAGCUUCCAAGUGAAAUCUAAGGAAUAGCGACUGUGAUUUGCUAUGGAGAGGUAUCUAUCACUCUAUCAUAACUAUUGCCAUUGCCAUCAACUUUAAUUUUCUACCUAGACACCCACCAGAAUGGCUAAAUUAAAAAGGACAGACAACUCUAAACACCGACAGGGGUAUGGAGCAACACCAUACGUUGUGGGUGGGACCGGAAAGGCGGAACCACUGUGACAAGUUCUGAUAGUUACUUAUACAACUAAACAUAUAUCUACCCUUUGUCCCAGCAAUUCUACUUCUUGGCAUUUACCCAAGAGCAACAAAAACAUAUCUUUACAAAAAGAUUUAUACAGUAUUCAGAACAGCUUUAUCCAUGGAAUCCAAAAACUAGAAAAAGUCCAUCAACAAAAAAAUGAAUAAACAAACUAUAGAAUAUUCAUACAAUGAAAUAUCAAUCAGCAAGUAAAAGGAACAAACAACAUUACCCACAGCAAUAUGGAUAAAUGUCAAAAUGUUAUGCAAAGUGGAAGAAGCCUCACACAAAAGAGUCAUUGGUGGAAAAGUCAGAACACUGGUUGUCUCUGGAGGGGUGGGGCUGGGGAGAGGCAGAAAUUGACUGGGAAAGGGUGUGAGGGAACCUUCUGGGGUGAUAGUUAUAUUUUAUAACUUGAGAGAAAUUUGGGUUACACAGUAUUUAUCAAAACUCUGUAAAUCUGUACUCAAGACCUGUGCAUUUCAUUGCAUGUACAUCUUACAUCAAAAGAAAAAAAAAACUGUAAACGUGUUAAACUUUAGUUAUAUAUGCAUAUUAUGAAGUAUUUAGGGUUAAGUGUAUUUAUGUCUGCAAUUUAUUUUGAAAUGCAUCAAAAAUAUAGACUCAUAGAUGGAUAGAUGAAUAGAUAAAUUAGACAGAUAAAUAGAUGAUUGAUAGAUAAUAGCUAGAUAGAUAAAAAUAGCUAUAGUAAAAUAUUAAUAGCAGACACUCCAUUGUAUAUAAGUGUUCACUAUAUAAUUCAUUCAUCUUUGUUGUCUGUAUGAAAAAUUUUAUAAUAAAAUGUGGAGG